ensembl:snRNA U2 U2 spliceosomal RNA
AUCACUUCUUGGCCUUUUGGCUAGGAUCGAAUGUAGUACCUGUUCUGGUCAGCUUAAAAUAUGUACCGAGCUCUCCCUGACCCACCCAAAGCUAGCAACCCAAGUUAAACCUUCCUGUUUCGUCUUCCAGAAUAAAACUUUAAAAAAAAAAGUAUUCACAUUCCCAUCUUUUUUAGAGAUGGGGUGGAUGUAUGCAAG